ACACAAGAAAAAGUCUUGGGUUGAUGGUGCUGUUCUGUAUUUUUAUUAUAGUUGUGAUUACAUAACACUAUGUACUUAUCAGAAUUUAUAAAACUACACAAAAUCGGUAAAUUUUACAGUAGGUAAAUUUUUAAAAUUGCAUCUUCUUAACAGCAGUACCUGCUCUUUCAUAAGUUUUCUAGCUCCAUCUACUUUUCCAUUUAUUCACUGAAAAAGCAAUUAUUAGUGGCUACAAGUUGCCAUACAUUGGAAUUAGAGAUAAACAUUAAAAAACAAGAUGAAAAUAUGUUUGCUUUCAUGGAGCUUACUUUCUACUCAGAGGAAAUAGGAGUUACGAAGGAAAAUGUAUAAUGUCUGAUGAUACAGGGAUAUUAUAACCAAUUAAUGGAAAAAAACAUUUAAGACAACACCUUCCGCUAUGUUUACAUCAGCAUGCAUUUUUGUAAUUGAGUAUGUAUAUUAAUUAUAUUUCAACAGACAACAAGUAUACAACAAAUAAUUCAACAAGUUAAAUUUUUACAUCCCAUUACUGUAAACUCACAUUCUUAAGAGGAUAUAAACUUCAUGUUAUGAACAUACACCAGUUAAAUUUUCCCUACAUAUAUCCAACAUAUUUUUAAUGUCAUUUGCUUUACUACAAUCUACACUCACUUGCUAUUGUGGCCAUUACUCUGCUGCUGCUUAAUAAAGGUCUUGUUCUUAUUA
rnacentral:lncRNA from 1 species